rnacentral:rRNA from 1 species
AGAGUUUGAUCAUGGCUCAGAAUGAAUGCUUGUGAAAUGCUUUACACAUGCAAGUUGAACGACGUUUUUAUAACGUAAGUGGCAAACGGGUGCGUAAUACGUAGAAAGGAUGUCCUUAAGACUGGAGACAAAACGAAAGUUUGAAUUCUGGAUAAAGAGGAAUCUUUUUUUAAGAAGAAAAUUAAAAGAAGAUUUCUUCCAUAAAGGGCAAUUUGCUCGCUUAGGGGUUUCUCUACGUGGUUUUAGGUUGUUGGUGGGGUAAAAGCCUACCAAGCCGAUAAUGCCUAGCCGGUCUGAGAGGACGAUCGGCCACAUUGGAACUGAGACAAGGUCCAAACUUAUUCAAGGCAGCAGUGGGGAAUAUUGGACAAUGGGGGAAACCCUGAUCCAGCAAUUUUGCUAGGGCGAUAAACGGCUGUAAAAAGAACCAGGUCGUAAAGCUCUGUUGCUAAAAGAGAUAAUGCCAUCUUUUAGAAAAGUAGCCCCGGCUAAUCUCGUGCCAGCAGCCGCGGUAAUACGAGAGGGGCGUGCGUUAUUCACACGAAUUAGGCGUAAAGCGUCUUUAGGCGGUUUUUUGUCAGUUAGUAACUAAAAUUCAGAACGUAAUUCUGGAAUGUUUACUAAGACGGUUUUUCUAGAGUUUAAUCGGGGUCAGUAGUAUCUCUUCAAGAGGGUUAAAAUUCAUAGAAAGAAGAGAGAGGGCCACGGGUGCAGGCAACUAACUAUAUUAAACUGACGCCAAAGGACUAAAGCGUAGGGAGCGAUCGGGAUUAGAAACCCCGGUAGUCUACGCCUUGACUGAUGAAAGUGAAACGUCAGAUAACUCUGCAUAUUAAAGCUAACGCGUUGAACUUUCCGCCUGAGGAGUACGACCGCAAGGUUGAAACUCAAAGGAAUUGACGGGGGUCUUUUAAAAACGGUGGAACAUGUGGUUUAAUCUGAUAAUCCGCGUAAAACCUUACCAGUUUUUACCAGGUGUUGCAUGGCUGUCGUCAGCCCGCGUCGUGAGGCGUGUCUCGAAAGAGCGUAACGGGCAGAACCCUUACUUGUAGUUGCAAGGAUUGUUUCGAAAGGGACAGAUCCGCACUUUACAGGAAUUUUUGCGCUCUAACAGGGAUGCCUAAGGCUGAACCGAACCCACAAGGUUUAAGUUUUGAGUUAGAAAACCCGCUAGUAUAUGUUAGAGCUCUACAGGAAGAGGGGAUGAGGUCAAGUCGUCAUGGCCUUUAUAAACUGGGCUACGCAUGUGUUACAAUGAUUAUGACAAAGAGUAGCAAUGACCAGAAUCGGAGCAAAUCUCAAAAAAGUAAUCUCAGUUCGAAUUGUAGGCUGCAAUUCGCCUACAUAAAGUCGGAAUCGUUAGUAAUCGUAAAUCAGCACGUUACGGUGAAUGUUUUGGGGCCUUGUACACACCGCCCGUCACGUCAGGGGAGUAGGAUCGGCUCGAAGUGUUCGAAGUGUAUUUAAACGAGCUUUAAGUUUUCUUUUUUCUUAAAAAAGUACUUAAAGGCUUUAUUUAUAUGGAGGCAUGACAGACGGACUUAUAACCGUGAUGAAGUCGUAACAAAGGUAACC